UCCACUUGUAGCUGAGAUAUAAUGUACGAAUUGUGAACAUUCUCAAAACUGUAUUGUACAUAGGUUAUACUUUUUUAUUGUGUGAACUUUAUUUUUGUGGAACUAAGGUUCCGUGUGUUAUUGUUGAAGUGGGACAUUAAUCAGUGUAACGCCACCUGCGGCCACAUUGCGGGUGUGGGGUUUCCUAGCCAGAGCUGUACGGACUCCACACUGGGUGAGGAGAAGCCUGCUGCCGCUGUGUGACACUGAUUUUGCUGCUGCACUCUGUUUUAUAGGAAUAAACCCUGUUUCCAGCCAGUCCGUGUCUGUUGUCACAAC